rnacentral:rRNA from 1 species
GACAGAGGGUGCAAACGUUGUUCGGAAUUACUGGGCGUAAAGCGCGUGUAGGCGGCUAAGUAAGUCGGGCGUGAAAUCCCACGGCUCAACCGUGGAAGUGCACUCGAAACUGCAUAGCUAGAGUCCUGGAGAGGAAGGUGGAAUGCUUGGUGUAGAGGUGAAAUUCGUAGAUAUCAAGCGGAACACCGGUGGCGAAGGCGGCGUCCUGGACCAACACUGACACUGAUGAGCGAAAGCCAGGGGAGCAAACGGGAUUAGAAAACCCGGG